rnacentral:sRNA from 1 species
AUUAAUUAAUAAAAAUAUAUUAUUCAUGUUGAGUUCCCGGUGUGACUGUAUUUGAUGAUACCCCUAAGAGGUAAUGUGGGUUAAAUGGGCUCAUAGGACUGACUACCUUAUAAAGGGAAAACCAGGCUGCACCUGAUUUUGGACACACACACACACACACACACACACACACACACACACCCGCCUCCAGAUCUUCAAGAGUACAGGUUUCUGUUGUGUAAGCCAUCUGAUCUGGAACAUGGUAUUUCGCUAUAGCCAUCCACACUGUUAAAGGCAGGGGAUAUUCUUACCGUUCUUGCUUGCUUGUUUCUGUGUGGUGAAUAUGAAUUACCUUAUUACUUAAGGAACAAUAAACGUGAGCUCUUUAUCCUUUUGGCUUCACCGUGCUGACAGGGUGAGACAUAAUUCUCUGAGUCUCCUUCGAGAUCAGUGUCUGGGCAGGUGAGGUAAGGUUGCAUCGACAAUCCUUCUCCACAGAGUGAAACUCUGAUGUUUCCUGUGCCCCGGAUGUCCAGAGGUAGGCUUGUAACCCUUUACCCCAAGCCUCACGGGUAACUCGUAACUUACUCUGAACCAUGUUUGUGUUUAAAUCACAUGUCUGAAUGUGUGAGUGGUGCAGGAGCACUCAGGAAGCUGAGGCAGAAGAGUCAUGAAUUGGAGAUCAACCUGAGCUACAAAGUGAGCCCUCACCUCCAACACACAAGCCAGCAACUUCUAAAAGCAAGUGAGCAUUCCCUAUAUAUUCUGCCAGCUCAGUCAGUUACUGAAUCGGAAUUGCUACUGCACUUUUUGACAAAGACCUUGGGGUACUGUGAUGAUUCGUGGGCAUCGGGUAUGUCUGUCCAUCCAGAAGACGUUUAUCUGUGCCUGAAGCGUGAGAGGCAUUGAGCCAAACCCAAGGAGAGCAGCGUUGAAUACAAUAUUCAGAUCUGCUGUCGGCGAGGACGGUCCACUGGGGAGCUAGACAAGUUCACAAGCAUUAUCCACAGCACUCCGGUGGGUGGAAGUAUGAUGGGGAUUCUUUAAUUACUCCUGGAGGCCUUUAUCAGCUAGGGCCUGACCCGGUAUCACACUAUGAGCCGAAGUGGUCAGAACCAGGGAGGAGCUCUCUGCCAGGCUAAUGCUGAGCUCCUCUUCCAGAGGGCACAGAGGCUGGACCAGUGUCUCCCUCUGAGACUAUCCAUCACACCUCCAAGACACAAGGCCUUCCGAGACUAGAGGGAAACUUCUGGAAAAUGAGCCAAGGAUCACCUACCUGAUGCAGGCUCCCUCCUCGACACCCAAAUCCCACUCUCUUGUUGCUAGGGAGCAAUCGGGUGGUUUGGGUGUGUAUUUGUACACUUAAGUGAACACGCAUAUGAAGGUCAAAGAUCAGUGUUCAGUGUCUUCCUUCAACCUUCUCCACCUUGUAUUUUGAAACAAGCUCCCUUGCUGAACCUGGAGCUCACCAACUCAGCUAGACUGUCUGACCAGUGAGCCCCAGGGGUUCUCCUGUCUGUACCUCCACAGCAUCACCCAAAAAAUAAGUGGGUGUCUUGGAGGUUUGAUGGAUAGUGUCAGAAGGAGGCGCUGGUCUAGCCUCUACUCAAUACUCACUGGAAGAAGAGCUCAGCAGAAGCAGGGCAGAGAACUCCUAGCUUUUACACAGGUGCUGGGGUCUGAAUUCAAGAGCUCGUGUUUGCGUGGCAAGCAACCUUAUUGGUUUAACCAAACUCCUGGUCCCCUUUUGAUCCAUGUAGCCCAGGCUCUCUAAGUCAUCAAGGGCAACCUCGCACACCCAAUCUUCCUGUGGCCUUGUUCAACUUAGGUUACAGACUGUUCAGUGUGGCUCCCAAGACCCUCUGUAAACACUAGCAGCCCAACUGAGGACCCAGCCCAUCUCUCCAAGCUCCUUUCUACCCUCCCUGCUGGCUUUCCCUAACUCCUUCUCUGUCUCUUCCACAUAUCAUCGGACUGAAGACACUGAGAAGAGGAUUCUAUCGAGAUCCCUGUGCUCUGUUUGCUUAAUAGCAGGGCUGACAGCGUGAGCGGCUCAAUGUCCUUCCCCUUUGUCCUGUGAUGUCUCCAGAAUUGGGGAGUUGAAGAUGGUGUGUAAUUUGCAAUUGUAAGACAUCUCUUUAGGAACGGCUUAUUUUCCCGGUGGCUCUGAUGUCUGUGUGAACUCUGCACGUUAACGAACUUAUGGGUCCCCCCGCCACCCCACUUUGUGAAUCUGCCUCUUGUCAAAGGCGGUUCAUCAAGCUAAGGCCUAUGGGAGUUAUUCUCUGACACCUUGGGGGCACUGUGACUUUCUUCCCCUUGGCCAACAUCUGCAGCGUCAGCUUUCUUCUUUCAGAGCUCCCUACACUACUCCCCCUUCCCCUCAGCACUCUGCAACCACCUCAGUCACCCCACAUCCUUGGUGAGGAUAAACAUUUCCCUACUGGGAUUAGA